rnacentral:tRNA from 1 species
GCCGAGGUGGUGAAACCGGUAAACACGCCUGACUCAAAAUCAGGUGGCGAAAGCCUUGUGGGUUCGAGUCCCACCCUCGGCA